rnacentral:rRNA from 1 species
UACAGAGGGUGCAAGCGUUAAUCGGAAUUACUGGGCGUAAAGAGCACGUAGGUGGUUUGGUAAGUCAGAUGUGAAAUCCCCGGGCUUAACCUGGGAACUGCAUUUGAUACUGCCUGGCUAGAGUUUAGUAGAGGGAAGUGGAAUUCCACAUGUAGCGGUGAAAUGCGUAGAGAUGUGGAGGAACACCAGUGGCGAAGGCGGCUUCCUGGACUAAAACUGACACUGAGGUGCGAAAGCGUGGGGAGCAAACAGG